rnacentral:rRNA from 1 species
CAGCAGUGAGGAAUAUUGGUCAAUGGGCGAAAGCCUGAACCAGCCAAGUAGCGUGCAGGAUGACGGCCCUCUGGGUUGUAAACUGCUUUUAGUCGGGAAUAAAAUGCGGCACGUGUGCCGCUUUGCAUGUACCGUCAGAAAAAGGACCGGCUAAUUCCGUGCCAGCAGCCGCGGUAAUACGGAAGGUCCAGGCGUUAUCCGGAUUUAUUGGGUUUAAAGGGAGCGCAGGCGGACUUUUAAGUCAGCUGUUAAAUUCGGUGGCUCAACCAUCGCAUGCAGUUGAAACUGGAGGUCUUGAGUGUACACAGGGAUGCUGGAAUUCAUGGUGUAGCGGUGAAAUGCUCAGAUAUCAUGAAGAACUCCAAUCGCGAAGGCAGGCAUCCGGGGUACAACUGACGCUGAGGCUCGAAAGUGCGGGUAUCAAACAGGAUUAGA